rnacentral:tRNA from 1 species
GGUCCCAUGGCUUAGAUGGCAAAGCGCCUGCCUAAGUAAGCAGGAGAUCAUGAGUUCGAGUUCAUUGGGACCU